rnacentral:SRP_RNA from 1 species
GCCGGGCGUGGUGGCGCACGCCUAUAGUCCCAGCUACUCGGGAGGCUGAGGUGGGAGGAUCGCUUUAGUCCAGGAGUUCUGGGCUGCAGUGCGCUAUGCCGAUCUGGUGUCCGCACUAAGUUCGGCAUCAAUAUGGUGACCUCCCGGGAGCGGGGGACCAACAGGUUGCCUAAGGAGAGACAAAAGGAAUAUGGCCGGGGCAGGGAGAGUCUUUUGUAGAGACAGGGGUGGGGUUUGUAGGGGCAGAGGUGGGGUUGAGUGAGGUAGUGACUAGGGAAUGGAGGAGCCCAUGUUGU